AAUUACCGGAAACAUAUCAACAAGAUCAUGAUAUAAAGCUGAAUCUACCAUGUUUACAACAUUAUUAUAACAGUUUUGACGAAGAUCAGUUUGAUGGUCCUCCUUCAUCAAUAAAUAAUUGUGUUUCGUGUAUUUUAGAUGAUACAGGAAGCCAACAACAACAACAACAACAACAACAACAACAACAACCCACUGCGUUUCAAGUGUAAUGCCUCUUUUGAACUCAUCACUCAUCUUAUAUGUACAUCGUCUUCACUAGUGAAAGUCCUAACAACACAAGAUGGUCUCCUCUCUGGAAAAGUUUAUUUUUCAACGAUGUUGAUUACCAAUGGAAGAAGAUGAAUCUGGGUUAUUUGAGCAAUACUGCAAUAGAAAUAUUUAAAUAUGAAAAUGUUUCUAUAGCAAACUCUGUAAUAUAUUUUAAAUUAAGACUAGUUUUUACCAAUAGUAAUUAUAUUGAUACUGACUGGAAGAGACUUAUACUUAAUGAUCAUGAUGUAGUUUCAAUAAAAAAUUGUUUUAAUCAUGUUCCUACCUUUUUAGCAAUGUUUGGAAUUGUUUGUACAUGUUGGAUCGUUUUUAUGAUGUUCAUAGCGUUAGGUUUGGCUUAAAAACUGCAAUUAAAAAUUUAUUUAGGUGUAUGACUUUGUUAGUUUAAGUAUGUAGUUUGUUUUAUGUCUAAUAAAAAAUAAUAUUCA